GACGAACGCUGGCGGCGUGCUUAACACAUGCAAGUCGAACGGAAAGGCCCUGCUUUUGUGGGGUGCUCGAGUGGCGAACGGGUGAGUAACACGUGAGUAACCUGCCCUUGACUUUGGGAUAACUUCAGGAAACUGGGGCUAAUACCGGAUAGGAGCUCCUGCUGCAUGGUGGGGGUUGGAAAGUUUCGGCGGUUGGGGAUGGACUCGCGGCUUAUCAGCUUGUUGGUGGGGUAGUGGCUUACCAAGGCUUUGACGGGUAGCCGGCCUGAGAGGGUGACCGGGCACAUGGGGACUGAGUGAGCGCCCAGGCGGCUACGGGAGGCAGCAGUGGGGAAUAUUGCACAAUGGGCGGAAGCCUGAUGCGGCAACGCCGCGUGCGGGAUGACGGCCUUCGGGUUGUAAACCGCGUUCGCCUGUGACGAAGCGUGAGUGAAGGUAAUGGGUAAAGAAGCACCGGCUAACUACGUG
rnacentral:rRNA from 1 species